ensembl:lncRNA
CAGCUACAUCUGUGGUAAUAAAUCUGAUUGAUGCAGAAUCUUGCAAGGAUAUCUGUUUUAGACAAAUCAAGCUCGUGAUGGUGACAUAAACAAACAAAACCAACACCGCUGUGAUAAAGUGCAGGAAUUGAGAGUCACUAUUAAGGGAUGUGUUUGAACAGAAGCAGAGCGCUGGGACGUGUGGACAGACUUUCACUGUAAUGAUGGACAUCCGCUCGUGGACAGAAGUAUAACCCCUGCUGGACAUGGUGCCGGGGCUCGGGGGGGACCCGAAUCGUCCCCAUCCCUUCAUUCACACAACACUCACUCGUAUCGCGGAGAUCUGGCUGGGAUUGAACCAGCAACCUCUGAACCUAGGCGGCGGAAGCGGCUUCACGUUCAGUCUGAGCGCUUCGGAUGAGUGA